GACGAACGCUGGCGGCGUGCUUAACACAUGCAAGUCGAACGGAAAGGCCCCUUUGGGGGUACUCGAGUGGCGAACGGGUGAGUAACACGUGAGUAACCUGCCCUUGACUUCGGGAUAACUUCAGGAAACUGGGGCUAAUACCGGAUAGGAAUCCUUGCUGCAUGGUGGGGGUUGGAAAGCUUCGGCGGUUUUGGAUGGACUCGCGGCUUAUCAGCUUGUUGGUGGGGUAGUGGCUUACCAAGGCUUUGACGGGUAGCCGGCCUGAGAGGGCGACCGGCCACAUUGGGACUGAGAUACGGCCCAGACUCCUACGGGAGGCAGCAGUGGGGAAGAUUGCACAAUGGGCGGAAGCCUGAUGCAGCAACGCCGCGUGCGGGAUGACGGCAUUCGGGUUGUAAACCGCUUUCAGCAGGGGCGAAGCUUGUGGUGACGGUACCUGCAGAAGAAGCACCGGCUAACUACGUG
rnacentral:rRNA from 1 species